ensembl:lncRNA
GGUUCUUGGAGGCUGGAAGGAGCUGUGGACACAGUGGGGAUGGGUGUCAGACACGGUUCCUGUUUAUAAGGUCGCUAGAGGACGGAGGCAGAGGGAAUGCUGAGCAUGUCCUAGGAGUAUCUGCCUGUCUUUGGACAUGGUUUAGGGACACAGAUUGAACGUUCAUGUCAGAGGAAAUGGGUCAGAAGCAAAACCAUCACGUUCACCACUGGACUAAAGACACCUCUUUACAGGCUGGACACCAUGAACCAUGUUUGUGUCUGGGACACACCAAAAACCUGGCUGGCAGGACCCUGGACACCAAGUGGGGAAAGGAAGAGGAGGGAGGUUUGGAAGAGGAGCCACCACCCCAAGUACCUUCACGAGGAACUGCCACGCGGUGAAUGUCUUCACCCUGUUACUGAUAUCUUGGAUGGUGACUCGAGGAAGAUUCUACCAAAAGGACCCAGCUCUCUCGUAACGAUUCAAGUGACUUUCUUCACUGAGAAAACCUGUGAGCACCAGUUCCUCCCAUUCCGCUCCUCGGUAGCUCCAGCUCCCUCUGGCCAGGCUCUCCCUCUGUGUCCUUGCUCCUACAGGGCACCUCCAUCAUCCUUCCAGCACCUUCUGGAUGGCCCUGACUUCUGGUUUUGACUGUGACCUCUUUGAAGAACUAGAUUGUGUUUGAUUCAUCCUUGCAUCUGAAGAGCCAAGAUAGUGCAUGGCUCAGUGCUGGUGCUCAGUGUGUGCUGGCAAAUUCAUCAGAUGGGUAUGAGGGGUGCCCGGCGUCCUUAGUGCAAUAAUGGGGAGUCUGGCGGCCAUAGAAAGCAUCCUGGAUCUGGAUGACAUCCCCCGAGCCGCAGUGCAUGGUCGCAUUGAGGCCCUCGCAGGCCAGGGUCUGACCGACACCUGUGGCAAAGGGAUGUGCCUGUCCUGGAAGUUUCAUGUAAAUGGAAUCAUACGCUCUGUGACCUUUUGUGGUUGGCUUCUUUGACGAUCAUACAGUGUCUUCGUGUUUCAUCCAUCUCACAGCAGUUUUUAUGCAAGAAUGUGACUCCUGGAGGGAAGACAGCCAUUCAUAAGCAAAACGGAACAUGCCCAAGAAUGAGAAACCCACCCUCUGAGGAUGACAGUGUGGGAAGUGGGAGCCUGGCAAGAUGACCCAGAUGCCUUCAGAGCUCCCCGCCCCAAGGACCCUCAGGUGAUUGAUGUUUGGGAUAAAUGCACAUCUUUGGAGUUUCGGCAGAUAGCCUGUUACUUUCAGCCCAAGCAUCUUGCCUUAACUCACUGUGCCUCCAUGAUAACUGUUAUGGGCUCCACUGUAUCCCCUCCCCACAGCCAUAUGUUGACGUCCUAACCCCAGUACCUGAGGAGGGGAUGGUACUAGAGGCAGGGCCUUUCAAGAGGCGAUGAAGUUAAAGCGAGGCCAUUAGGGAGGGUCCUUACCCAAGCUGACUGGUGUCCUUGUAAGAGGGGAAGGGGACACACAAGAAGACAGCAGGAUACCCAGGUCCAGAGGGAGGACCCUGUGGGACACAGCGAGAAGACCGUCUACAAGCCAAGGAGAUGCCCCAGAAGAAACCAACCCUGCCACACCCUGAAUGUGAACCUCCCAGCUUCCAGAACUGUGGGAAGAUUAACUUCUGCGGUACUUUGUCCUGGUAGCCCUAGAAAACAAACAGAGUUACCUAUUGCUAUGAUCAAGGUAUUAUCACCAC